AUGCGAUGACUUUGGAACCAACUACUGAAGGAAGAUUUCCAGGCAAUCAGGAGUGGGAUUGAUUCCUUUCUUUGCAGAGGAAAUGGGACGUGCACAGGCCAGGAAGCAGGACAUAGCACCCGCUAAGGAUUUCCCAAUAGUCUGAAGUGUUGCUGGCUUGGAAGGGAAGAGAUGAGCCUGGGAUAAGCAGAAACUGAAGCUGAAAAGAUAAGGAUACCAUGAGGAAGGAGGGGCCUGGAGGGAGACAGUAUUAUCCACUGGUGCCAGUAGAGUCAGACAUUUUCAGAGCGUGCUCAUAGAACUGGGGAGGCUCUUCAUGAUGAGGAGAACAAAGGCAAAAAAGAUGUCUUUCCACAGUUUCUUCCUGAGACAUGAACAAGAAAUGGGCACCAGCUGUUCUUGUGAGGAUCCAAACCUCCAAAAUCUGCUUGACCUCUUGGGAUUCAAUUCUUUGAAAU